CCUACGGGCUGCAGCAGUGGGGGAUAUUGCACAAUGGGGGAAACCCUGAUGCAGCGACGCCGCGUGAGUGAAGAAGUAUUUCGGUAUGUAAAGCUCUAUCAGCAGGGAAGAAAAUGACAGUACCUGACCAAGAAGCCCCGGCUAACUACGUGCCAGCAGCCGCGGUCAUUAGUAGGGGGCAAGCGUUAUCCGGAUUUACUGGGUGUAAAUGGAGCGUAGACGGGUAUGUCAGUCUGGAGUGAAAGAUCGGGGCCCAACCCCGGGACUGCUUUGGAAACUGUGGAACUGGAGUACGGGAGGGGCAGGCGGAAUGCGUGGUGUAGCGGUGAAAUGCGUAGAUAUCAGGAGGAACACCGGCGGCGAAGGCGGCCUGCUGGACUGAAACUGACGUUGAGGCUCGAAAGCGUGGGGAGCAAACAGGAUUAGAUACCCCGGUAGUC
rnacentral:rRNA from 1 species